rnacentral:rRNA from 1 species
AUUGAACGCUGGCGGCAUGCCUUACACAUGCAAGUCGAACGGUAACGCGGGGCAACCUGGCGACGAGUGGCGAACGGGUGAGUAAUACAUCGGAACGUGCCCAGUAGUGGGGGAUAGCCCGGCGAAAAGCCGGAUUAAUACCGCAUACGACCUACGGGUGAAAGCAGGGGAUCGCAAGACCUUGCGCUAUUGGAGCGGCCGAUGUCAGAUUAGGUUGUUGGUGGGGUAAAAGCCUACCAAGCCGACGAUCUGUAGCUGGUCUGAGAGGACGACCAGCCACACUGGGACUGAGACACGGCCCAGACUCCUACGGGAGGCAGCAGUGGGGAAUUUUGGACAAUGGGCGCAAGCCUGAUCCAGCCAUGCCGCGUGCGGGAAGAAGGGCCCUUCGGGUUGGUUAAACCG